GCCGGUGCGUGUGUGGGCGGGGCUGAGGGGAGCGCGGAGCGGGGGCGGAGCGAGUGAGCUGCUCUGCCAUGGGAAUGCUGCGCGAAGCUGCGUUUCAGCGUUUCCAAGAUUAUUCGACUUUACGAGCCUAAAAAUGGGUGACCAAGGAAGAUGUGGCAGCCAGCAGUGACCAUCACCUGGAGGGAGCUGUGGCAGAGGUUAGCAGGUAAGAGAGGCUGAGCAAACCAAGGAAAUGUUGAACUAUGUUAAUAAUAGGGAGUGGAGAAGUUAUGAUCUGUUGGGAUAGUAACAAGGUGGCCAGCUAAUUAGGUUAUAAAAUCAAUUCUAGGCAAGAAAAUGAAAAUUAAUGGCUUUGCUGGGCACAGCAUAGCUGCAAAUGAAAUUAUUCCCUGAAUGUGAUUUUUCCAGAGCAUCAUCUGAGGCAUUCUUGUGUUAGAUACCCGUAUUGCCCUUGAAAGAAACAAAAUGAGCAGUCUUAAAAUGAAGUUGCAUUCAAACCAGAAGUAUUUAUACUGAGGAAAAAAACCCCAUGGUCAUUACACAGUACAGUGGGCCAAAUGCUAAGAGAGUGAAUUGAUGGUGUGAUUGCUUAUUUUAUUGUAAUAAAACACAUUUUCACAAGAGCUUAGGCUUUCUC
rnacentral:lncRNA from 1 species